AAUGAACGUUGGCGGCGUGGAUUAGGCAUGCAAGUCGAGCGAGAAGUUUCCUUCGGGAAAUGGACAGCGGCAAACGGGAUAGUAAGGCAUCGGUAACGCACCCCCAGGACCGGGAUAGCCGAGGGAAACUUCGGGUAAUACCGGAUAAUAUCUCCGGAUCAAAUGGUGAGAUUCCGCCUGGGGACCGGCUGAUGUGAUACCAGCUAGUUGGUAAGGUAACGGCUUACCAAGGCUUAGACGUCUAGGGGGUGUGAGAGCAUGGCCCCCAUCACUGGGACUGAGACACUGCCCAGACACCUACGGGUGGCAG
rnacentral:rRNA from 1 species